rnacentral:rRNA from 1 species
UACGGAAUGUGCAAACGUUAUUCGGAAUCACUGGGCUUAAAGAGUCCGUAGGCGGCUUGUUAGGUGAGGUGUGAAAUCCCCCGGCUCAACCGAGGAAUUGCGCUUCAAACCGGCGAGCUUGAGGAAGGUAGAGGUGGGCGGAACUGAUGGUGGAGCGGUGAAAUGCGUUGAUAUCAUCAGGAACACCGGAGGCGAAGGCGGCCCACUGGGUCUUCUCUGACGCUGAGGGACGAAAGCUAGGGUAGCGAACGGG